rnacentral:rRNA from 1 species
AUUGAACGCUGGCGGCAUGCUUUACACAUGCAAGUCGAACGGCAGCGCGGGCUUCGGCCUGGCGGCGAGUGGCGAACGGGUGAGUAAUGCAUCGGAACGUGCCCAGUAGUGGGGGAUAGCCCGGCGAAAGCCGGAUUAAUACCGCAUACGACCUGAGGGUGAAAGCGGGGGACCGAAAGGCUUCGCGCUAUUGGAGCGGCCGAUGUCGGAUUAGCUAGUUGGUGGGGUAAAGGCUUACCAAGGCGACGAUCCGUAGCUGGUCUGAGAGGACGACGAGCCACACUGGGACUGAGACACGGCCCAGACUCCUACGGGAGGCAGCAGUGGGGAAUUUUGGACAAAGGGGGCAACCCUGAUCCAGCCAUGCCGCGUGCGGGAAGAAGGCCUUCGGGUUGUAAACCGCUUUUGUUCGGGAAGAAAUCCUCUGGGCUAAUACCCCGGGGGGAUGACGGUACCGGAAGAAUAAGCACCGGCUAACUACGUG